UAGGGAAUAUUGGACAAUGGGUGAGAGCCUGAUCCAGCCAUGCCGCGUGCAGGAAGAAGGCGUUAUGCGUUGUAAACUGCUUUUUGCCAGGGGAUAAAAAGACCGUGCGCGGUUAAUUGAAGGUACCUGGUGAAUAAGCCACGGCUAACUACGUGCCAGCAGCCGCGGUAAUACGUAGGUGGCAAGCGUUGUCCGGAUUUAUUGGGUUUAAAGGGUGCGUAGGUGGCCCUGUAAGUCAGUGGUGAAAUAUCUCAGCUUAACUGAGAGGGUGCCAUUGAUACUGCAGGGCUUGAGUACAGAUGAGGUAGGCGGAAUUGACGGUGUAGCGGUGAAAUGCAUAGAUAUCGUCAAGAACACCGGUAGCGAAGGCAGCUUACCAAGCUGUAACUGACACUGAGGCACGAAAGUGUGGGGAUCAAACAGGAUUAGAUACCCCAGUAGUCCCUGAGCGGGCUGGCAAGGCGCAU
rnacentral:rRNA from 1 species